AAAGGACUGGAGCAGCUGCAACUGAGAUGUCCAAAGAACCUGGGCUAUAAGCAGCUUCCUGUUCCUGAGUUAAUCCAGUCUGUGUCCACGUGCAACAGACCAUCAGUCCUAGUUGGUUUACCUGUCUCAAAAACCUGCUCCUGGAUUGUGACGUGCAGGGACGAGUGUAUCGGCACUCUGUCAAAUCAACAGAUUUCAAGGGAGCAGGAGCCAAAUGUUAAGAUGCCUUCUGCCAAAGAGGAAACUGCUGAAAAAAAUAAAAGCCUCGCACAACUGAAACAG